CAAGGGCAAUGCCCAGAGAAUGGUCGGAGUCAUAGGAGUGUGUGUACUUCCAUAGCAGAAUCUUCAUUUCUUACUAUGUGCUGAACUAUUACUCUCUGUACUUCAGGUGGAUUGACAUCAGAAAGUUUCAAAAGGAGGCAGUGUCUUUCUUUCAGAAGGUGCAAGUAGUGGAGACCAGUUACAUUCUGGCUGAACAUAUGGCUCGCAAACUGUACUGGACGGAGGGCUAACCUGGGCAGUAGCUUCUGGAACAUGUUGCUCUGGGGUGUCAAGUGAGUUUGGUCUGAUUUCACCAUUUUGGGUUUCUGUGUUAUCCAGGUCAACAGCUUCACUGAUGACAGAGAGUUCUUCUCUGAGGACAGCCGCCAAAUCUCUGCCAGUCUGUUUUACUUCCUCUUUCAACUCAGAGAGGCAAGAUAAAUGAUUCUUCGAGAAGCAUCUCGCCGCAGCCUGCAGUGGACAUCCAACCCGGCCCACAUCCAAGUGUGACAUCAGAAGCCAGGCCCAUGCCGCCCUGCAGCUGAUUCUUAAGAUUUUAUUGGUCACUUAUGGAAGUUUCAAGUUUGAAGUAUGGAUUGAAGUUUAUGUUUCCUGCUUAUUGAAAAGUCUGUUCUGGAGUUAUCUAUCACUGGCUUUGAUUACCUGAAGUACUUCCCUGUGGAUUUCAGUAGCGAUCAUUGGAUCGUUCCAAGCAUAUGUUAUUCAAGCUUGCUAAAGACUGUUUUAAUACCUGUGUACUCACCUCAAGCUACUUGAAUGUUUCUUCUGUUUUUUUGUUUUUUUUUUGUUAAAUAAACUCCUGCAUCUGGGUUCAUCGAA